AUUGAACGCUGGCGGCAGGCCUAACACAUGCAAGUCGAGCGGAAACGAUGGAAGCUUGCUUCCAGGCGUCGAGCGGCGGACGGGUGAGUAAUGCAUGGGAAUCUGCCCGAUAGUGGGGGAUAACCUGGGGAAACCCAGGCUAAUACCGCAUACGUCCUACGGGAGAAAGCAGGGGAUCUUCGGACCUUGCGCUAUCGGAUGAGCCCAUGUCGGAUUAGCUUGUUGGUGAGGUAAUGGCUCACCAAGGCGACGAUCCGUAGCUGGUCUGAGAGGAUGAUCAGCCACAUCGGGACUGAGACACGGCCCGAACUCCUACGGGAGGCAGCAGUGGGGAAUAUUGGACAAUGGGCGAAAGCCUGAUCCAGCCAUGCCGCGUGUGUGAAGAAGGCCCUCGGGUUGUAAAGCACUUUCAGUGGGGAAGAAAGCCUUGGGAUUAAUACUCCCGAGGAAGGACAUCACCCACAGAAGAAGCACCGGCUAACUCCGUGCCAGCAGCCGCGGUAAUACGGAGGGUGCGAGCGUUAAUCGGAAUUACUGGGCGUAAAGCGCGCGUAGGCGGUCUGAUAAGCCGGUUGUGAAAGCCCCGGGCUCAACCUGGGAACGGCAUCCGGAACUGUCAGGCUAGAGUGCAGGAGAGGAAGGUAGAAUUCCCGGUGUAGCGGUGAAAUGCGUAGAGAUCGGGAGGAAUACCAGUGGCGAAGGCGGCCUUCUGGACUGACACUGACGCUGAGGUGCGAAAGCGUGGGUAGCAAACA
rnacentral:rRNA from 1 species